rnacentral:lncRNA from 1 species
GUACCUUCAUCAAGGUAUCCCACUGAGACCGUCAAGGCUGUUCAAUGACCCAUACCCAUAAACAUGUUUUCACAUCUGACACACAGCCUUUCCUUGGCAUUGGCUGAGUCUCACUCUCACGUGGUGGCCCGAACGUGAGGUGCACUCAAAUCGUACCUCAGGAGAUACUUCACCUAACAUUUCCCCCCGGAGGUAAGUAUAUAAUUGAGUUACUGUGCCCCUCUCAUAGGCAGUCCACGGAAGCCCCCACCACUGCAGUGACCGUUUAAUAUACCACCAAACCCAUAAAAAUUUCAGUAGCAUAAUAUAGCGAAUAAAAUGUAAUCCAAUCUACCGAGACCAAUCCAAAACUAUUCAUAUAUUUCAUGCCAACCUCAAAAAUUUAGCCAUCAUGCUACCAUAGUGUCAUAAGCCACAAUUUCAAUAACAUAUAAAAUCAUAAAUUUCAACACAAUCUCCAUAUACUCAAUUUUCCCAAAACAAUAUUUGAUUUCAAAACCAGUAUAAAUCUCAUUUUUAUUAAAAAACAUUUUAAUUGAAAAACAUAAUAUUUUAUAAUUUAAACUCACCAUUCAAUAAAAG